rnacentral:lncRNA from 1 species
AUCCUACACAAAACACGUAUACAGUCUGUCAGUUCACGUUACCCCUUACUAAAAUACGCUAAGAAAAGGAUUUCACAUAUUCAACCCUAAGAGAAUGUUUCAUAAGAUAAAUCUUUGUUUGAAAUGAAAGAUAUUUACGCAACAAUAAAAAAGAGAACGAAAAUGGGUAAGAGGAAACGUUGGAAUUUGUAAUGAGGUGUGCAGGGAGGAUUUUAUUACCAUGUGGUGUGAUGCAAGGGUGGUAUCUAGUAGUGGUAAGGAGGAGGAGGAGGAGGGGAUUUGUAGUAGUAGUGGGGUGGAGGUGGUGAAGGGACUGGAGGAGGAGGAGACUUGUACUUAUAAGGCUUCUUGUGAGGUGAUGGUGGAGGAGAGUGGUAAACUGGGGUGGGGACAUGGGGAGGGUAGGUGGGAACUGGUGGCGGUGGGGAGUGGUAGACUGGGUGGGGGUGAGGGUAGCGGUGCCUGUGCACUGGUGGAGGAGGGGAAGAGUAUUUGUAUGACUUCUUAGGAGGGGGUGGAGGAGAGUGGUAAACUGGGUGUGGGUGAGGGUAAGGCUUGUGCACUGGUGGUGGGGGAGAUGGGUAUUUGUAUGGCUUCUUUGGUGGUGGAGGUGGUGGGGAGUGGUAGAUUGGGUGAGGGUGAGGGUGAGGGUGUGGGUGAGGGUAAUGGUGAGGAGGGGGUGGAGGAGAUUGGUAGACUGGGUGUGGAUGAGGGUAGGGCUUGUGCACUGGUGGUGGUGGAGAUUGGUAGACUGGGUGUGGAUGAGGGUAGGGCUUGUGCACUGGUGGUGGUGGAGAUGGGUAGUGGUAGGGAGGUGGUGGUGAGGAGACUGGUGGAGGUGGAGGAGAGGAGUAGGAGUAGUGGUUGCCGGAGAUUUGAGAUGGGAGGCUGAAAAGGAUAAUGGCAAAUGCAAGAGUGAUAGAAGCAGAGGCCAUUAGGGACCCCAUUUUCCUCCAACUGAGUUUUGGUUAUGCUCUAAAGUGAG